rnacentral:lncRNA from 1 species
CGGCAAGAUACAUCAGUUGGCCUCCCUCUUCUCUUAGCAAGCUCCUAGAAGUAAAGAGACUAUGCAGAACGUAAGCCUGUCUGCCUGGAUGCGGUCAAACUGUUCUUUCUCAAAACCCUUAAAUUGCAUCAAAGAAGCCAGGCACCAAAUGGUA